AAAUGCCUUCCCCCCACCACCACACCCACCCCGGCCCUGGCCCGUCCUGGGUUUCUAUCUCCGUACUUCCACAUCCUUGUAUAUUUCUCUCUGUCUAGACUGAAGUCCAUUUCUGGCUUUUAGUUUGGAGUAAAUCUGCUUUUCCUUUUUUUUUUCCUGGAGAUUCAGACCUGUGUUUUUGUGUGCGGGUGUCCGGGGAGUCAUUAUGUAAAGUUUGACACAGGUGUCAUCUGAUGGCAGUGCUGGUUCUUGAGCUGAACUCUGACGUUUCAUAUGCCAAGGCAAAUGGAGUCAACUACAUCCAUAGUGUUGACUUCCUCACAGUGAACUGUUGCUCUUUAAUUGUAACUUCAUGAUAAAAUUAAGUUAAAAUCUCUGGUAUCCAUUGCCUUAUUUCUUCGAUCCAACCCACAACAUGAGUCCAUCUUCUCAGAGUGACAAAACACCAUUGGUUUUGUGUGACUCAUAUGCAAAACUAAAUGCUUUCAUCUGUGUGGUCUGCUGAUGGGAAAUAAAAUCAGAUAUUUCACUUCUAACUUCAUCAAGCAAGAGAAAAAUCAGUUGUGAUUCCAAGAAGAGAUGAACUCAAUUGAAAUACCAUGUGGCAUCAAUUUGUUUGUAAGCGCAAAUCAAAUGGCAGUUUGGGAUCCUUCAGAUGAUCCAGAAUAUGCUGUAUUAAAUUUUUAAAGGUUAUCAGAGCAAACAAAACUUAGCAUUCAAAAAAUUAAGAAACUACGUGAAUCCCAAGAAUAUAUCCAUAUACCCACAGAGGUCUUCAGAUACUUGGAUAAAAUCUGCUCAGGAACAUUAAAAAAUGCCAGUGUUUGCUUCAGUCACCAAUUGUGAGAGAAGACUAGAAAUAGAAUUUGUCUUGAAAAUAAAACUUCACACACCGCGUGCUGCUUCUUUUGAAGAAAAAAUGGAGAGCUGGUAGUCUCUCUGAAAUUCUGAUGUGGACUGUGCCUUAGAACUUUACGAGAAAAGAGGCAACGUGUGAAAUGGAGAUUGCACAAUCUUGUCUUUAACCGAGAUUCAUCUGGAAGCUUCUAGCAUUCUCAGUAAAAUUCAAAUGAUAUUGAAAAAGUUAACGUGGCCCCUCUGGCUUCCCCUCGGUCUGGGUCAAGGCUCCGGCAGCCCCUGCGCCCAGGGGGCGCGGCUGAGGACGUCCCGCGGCUGCUGGUGUGCUGGGCGGGUGACGCGCACGAGCAAAUAAAUACUCUGAACGUAAUGAGAGCCAGAUACCAUUCUUGCAACUUUUCUGUAAAGUUUUAUAGUAGUUCAAAACAAAAAGAGCAUAAAAAUGUUUAUGUGGUUAAGAAGAGUAAUUUCACCAGAAACAUAGCUUACUUUACAUUUCUCCCACGAAUAUAUGUGCUAUAUAUUAUUUUUAUGUUGUUCAUGUGUGCAUACAUUUAUAGGUAUAGUCUUUUUGUUUCAGUUUCUCUAAGAUUCUGAUACAUUCCAAAGCAAAAGAAAAAAACCUUACAAAGUGGUUCAGGAAGACAAUAAAAAGGAAGACUUCUGAACGUGUGUAAGAUUUAUUUUGAGUCUUAAUAGUUGUAAUGUAUUGGUCUAAUGGACCGUCAUGAUGAAUUUGAGUAUAUCAUAUUAGGAUACAGUAAAGAGAGAAAUGUAUUUAAGUUUCUUCUGAUUUUUGAAAUAUCACUCAAUUAAAACUUUCUUUAAUAAAGAUGAGUGCAUUAGUUAUGGCUGCCUGAGGGAAAGUUUGAUUUGGUUCCUGGCUAUUAAUGAAUGUUUUAUAUGGCUAUUUACUCCUCAAUAAAAUAAAAAGAAAUGUGUUCCCACAGCAACCCCAGAAGUAGAUGUUAACUUUUUUAUUUUCUUCCUGAUGUAGGACCUAAUGUAAGCCCUAUAUUUCUCUUUCAAAUGAUCAGCCACAGAAUUUGGGAACUUCCUAUGGAAUGUAGU